rnacentral:rRNA from 1 species
AGACGGAGGGUGCAAGCGUUGUUCGGAAUUACUGGGCGUAAAGAGCGUGUAGGCGGUUUGAUAAGUCGAGUGUGAAAGCCCGAGGCUCAACUUCGGAAGUGCACUCGAAACUGUCAGGCUUGAGUACGGGAGAGGGAAGUGGAAUUCCUGGUGUAGAGGUGAAAUUCGUAGAUAUCAGGAGGAACACCGGUGGCGAAGGCGGCUUCCUGGACCGAUACUGACGCUGAGACGCGAAAGCGUGGGGAGC